rnacentral:rRNA from 1 species
UAGGGAAUCUUCGGCAAUGGACGAAAGUCUGACCGAGCAACGCCGCGUGAGGGAAGAAGGUUUUCGGAUCGUAAAACUCUGUUGGUAGAGAAGAACGUUGGUGAGAGUGGAAAGCUCAUCAAGUGACGGUAACUACCCAGAAAGGGACGGCUAACUACGUGCCAG